UACGUAGGGUGCAAGCGUUGUCCGGAAUUAUUGGGCGUAAAGAGCUCGUAGGCGGUUUGUCGCGUCGAAUGUGAAAACCCGGGGCUCAACCCCGGGCCUGCAUUCGAUACGGGCAGACUAGAGUUCGGUAGGGGAGUCUGGAAUUCCUGGUGUAGCGGUGAAAUGCGCAGAUAUCAGGAGGAACACCGGUGGCGAAGGCGGGACUCUGGGCCGAUACUGACGCUGAGGAGCGAAAGCGUGGGGAGC
rnacentral:rRNA from 1 species